rnacentral:lncRNA from 1 species
GUCUUAUCAAACAAAUUUUUUAUUUUAUAAUUUUUUAGAACUAAAAUACAAUUCUUAGAAAUCAAUUCAAACAGGCCCUUACUCUCCCUACCAAGAUAAAAUGGAUAAACUAUACCAUGCGAUCCACUUAAUUUUCUGACAAGUUUGAAGGUAUGAUAUGUCCACCUCAAGAAGAUAAUCUACGGACAAGAUAGAAGCUAACCUUGCACAAACCGUUUUGACUGAGAAUCCCGCGGUGUCGUUCCACCAAAAAAAAAUGUCAACAACAUUCGGAAUCAAAUUAAGAAUGAGAAGAAGAUCAUUUAAAUCUGUCUGAGAAGCUUCCACAAGAAAAUCAUAAUUAAAUUGAGGUUCCAAGACCAAACACCAUGGCACCACUACCCCAAAUCCUCUAUAGAAGGUCUAGAAAAUUGUAUCUUUUCAAACUGACUAGAAAAUUGCAGCUUCAAUUGGGCACUUCCAAUCCAUUGAUUUCUCCAAAAGUCAAUAUAGGAACCCUUACAUAGCUUGCAAGAAAACCCAUUACCUAACCAAUUUGCUUCGCCACCCCUAAUACCUAAAGAGACCCUUAGAUACUCAAAUAAAAGAGUUUAAAUAAAUAAUGCCAAAUAAAAGAUAUAAUAGUUUUAAUGAGUCAUCAAAUAUAGACUAUAUUAAAAAAAUAAACUUUACCAAUUUAAAUAUAUUUUUAUAAAUUUACUUCUGAUUAAAAAUAAUUAAUUGAGAGAGUUCUAUAUUAAAGUGGAUUUUUUAUACGAUUAAAAAUAGAUAAAAAGUAUGAUACAGGAAAAAAAAACAUAAAUAUAUUAAAACAAAAUUAAAAAAAACACAGAACAUUAUUAUCGUUAUGCUAUAUUAAAAAAAAUCACAAACUUGCAAAAACAAAAUAUAAAACAAAAAUUUAACAUAUUUACAUUAAUGCCAUUAAUGAAAAAUCAUUNAAGAGAAGAGAUGAGAAACACAAUCUAACAAAACUUUUCCACUUCUUUCAAGAUGCUCGAACUUUGAUGUCCAAAAUGCCAUUUCUGUUAGGAAGGUUCUUUGCGCGAAUAACAUACAUGCCAUCUCUUUUUAACAAUGAAAUGAAGAAAAAAUAAAAAUAUGAAGAGGCGUGGAUAAAUGGUAGAAGAUGGCUCUAUUUAUUAUUUUAAAAAAUCCACUGACAAUACACGUUAACAUCAAUUGAUUGGCAACCCACGUUUAAAGUGUUGUAGCAUAGGUACCAAAUUAGAUUGACAAUAAUAAACCACUAUAAAUUUAAGUGAACGUCGUAUAAUUCUUUAUUUUAUUUUGUUUAUUUGAAAAAGUUAAUUAACUUGAAAAAUAAUUGAAAAAUGGAUUAUUAUAAGAAUAUAUUUAAACAAAAGUGGGUUAUUUGAGUACAAGAUUUGUAAUUAUUUAGGGAAACUUUUUGCUAAAAACAAACACAAAGGAAAAGAAAACCGCAAGUUGUCGCAAGGCAAUGAAGGAAAGCCUGAGGUAGGGUUUGUCGCAAUCGCGAAUCAUCUCAUGGACCAUUCUGAAGCAUCGAGAAAUCCAUCCCCACGGUGAGUCCUUCCGUCGACCACUCUGUGUCACCGCCGAUGGAGCAUCUCAAUUCUAAGUCGUAGUCUCAAAUCUUCUCAAAAAUUUCCAAUUUCAAUUCUGACUUGGAAUUUCAAAAACAUGUUUGCAGGAAUCUCAAGUCAAUCACUCAACAAAUGGGAGUAUUCAAGUUAACUGUUUUGGACACCAAUGGAAGCUAGCAAACAACAUCAGGAUACUUUUAGGGUUUAUCCCGUAGGCUCAUAACGAUUUACAAUUUCAUUUAUAUAAUUAAUAGGACAAUUAUAUGGUUUGAAGUAUUCUCUUUCUGUAUAUUUAUCAAAAAACAUGAUUUGAUAACGAAGCCGAAAAUGAGACACUUAUGUUCACUGUUUGGCAUUGCAUUGUUUUGAUGAGAAAGUAUCGGAAUGGGGGAUUAAGGAAAAGCGGUGAGAAGUUUGGCGCGUGGCGAUUCCUGCCCGUCAAUGAAUGGGAUAUUGGUGCAAUAUUCAACACUCAGUAGAUAAACUAAUUGUUAUGUGUUUUAAUUGUCAAAUUUAUGGACAAAAUCUCAUUCUUCAUUCAGCAAGAUUUUCUUAACAUGAAUAGAGUCAAAUUAAAAACAUAUUCAGAUUUUCUUUCUUAACAUGCAUAGAUUCUCUUGAUGGAUUUUUAUAUUAUGGAUGAUGGUGCUGAUUACUAUCAAAACAGCUGGACAGAAGGAAAAUGUCCCAUUGGUGUUGGAGAAAAUCUAAAAUCAGGUAUGCUUAUAAAGCUAUUUUGAAUUCAAUAGAGAAUUCCCGUGGUUCUGAAUUCUAGACUAGAAGAACAAGUUAUAUUCCGAGCCAUGCUUGAUAUUGUACAUAAUAUUUUGUCAGGAUGUGAAGAAGUAGUUAGGUCGGCAUCCUGUUAUACUGAGGAAAUGCAAUACAUUAGGUCGGGCAAUCAUUGUUAUACCUGAGGAAUGCAAUACAUUAGGUCGGGCACACUGUUUAACUGAGGAAUGCAAUACGUUAAUAUGAAAGCACUUCAAAUUUAACCGGUUCGACUCCUCUAGAGUUUUAAGAUAUAAUGGUAUUCUAAAUUCUUAAGAUGCAAAAUCAUUGCAGAAUCAAUAUUGAUAUGUUAGUUAUGUUUCCAACUAAGUAGUUUUUCCUUGACUCCCUCCUGUUUAGUUUGAAAGGAAAAAUAUAGGAUGUUCUUGUUUCCAGAGACGGAAGAUAAUUAAGUUGUUGUUUAUAUGAUCAAACCCUAGUUAAAACCUUAGGCCUAUAUGUGUAAGGUCCAGCUUUUUAAAACAUUUAUAAUUCACUAAUCCAAAAAGUGCUCUAAUAGUUCCUACUUCCGUUUGUUUGUUUUUUAGUUAUUACAAGACAUUAUUAAGUGAAACUUGCUCAUUUGUCCAUACCCUUAAUAAAUUGUUUUGUCUUGUAUUUGGUGUUUGAGAAUUGAUUUCUAUAGUACAAUAACACAAUUUUCAAUACUGUUCUAGGAUUUAAAUAAAAAGAUACAUGGUUUUUCAUCUCUAGGAUUGUUAAGUAAAAAAGAUAAGUGGUUUUUAUCUGUCUAAGACCCUUCUUUUCAAGUUUUUGCAACAAUGAGUUUUCUUUGGAUUGUAAUGAUGGAAUCGUAAUAUAGUAGUAUAUUUUAUGAAAUAUGAUGUAGUAUAUGCUUGCAUGGGGGGAGACUCAAACAACAAGAGAUGACAUGAACAUACCAAUGAACUCACUAAUCUGAUAAACCUCAAGAUCCCAUCAUCCAUCCUGUGAGUGAGUGUAUUGUUUUAUUUCCACUUAGAAUCUCCAAUUCAGUUUGGUUAAUAAAUAUUUUUCUGUGCAGAGAACUUGCCAAAUAAUAUCUCUGCAAGUUGUUCUUCUAAAAGGUUCUGAUUGCCUCUCCAUGAUAUGUGACUGCCUUUUAAUAUCGUGAUUAUGUGGUCAUGUAUGUUUGUUUUAGCUUGAGGUAUAUUUUUACCAUCUAUAGUCAUUGUUAAAAUUAAAUUAGCAUUUUUAAGUCAUCUCAAGUUUAACAAGUAUCAUUAGUUUCUCCUUACAUUCUUAAAUAUUUAUUUUGAGACUUAAUUUCAAUCAAGGGUCUUGAAUUUUUAAAUAAAAUUUCAUAUUGCAAACCGAACACAAGUAUCAUAAUUUUGGUGCUCUUAAUUAAUAAAAUUAUAGUGAUCAAUAAAAAAUAAAAAAGCAACUUCAAAAUUUUAUUUAUAUAAAUUCCAUCUAACACACAAAGUGUGAAAGAGUACAAACUUAAGUAUGGAGAGCUGACAAGGUCUUUAUUUAGAAUCAUAAGAACAUCCGACAAACCAAAAGAAAAACAAAAAGUUGCAUGUAAGAAAUAAAAUAAAUUCCAAAACUUCAUGAACCUUUGUCAGCCUCCCAUUGAAUUCCCUGCGCACCACUAGAAAUACACUCUCCAGUAAAUGAAUGUGACAACCGCUGUAAGGUGUGGCACAAUCUGAAUUCUAGGUUUGUACUUGCCCUCAAACAAAAGCCUUAUUUCAGAUAAAAUACAAGUAAAUCAAUCUUCACGCAUCGAACUUGGGAAAGUAAUGUUAAAUGUGAGUCUUAUGCAUUAAUAAUUGGUCCCUUGUGUAAAACUUUCCGCCUGGUAUAAAUAUUACUUUUUCCAAGAAUAUCCUUUAUAUUAUCCUUUUGUAAACUAUUGAUGUCUUUUUAAAUAAGGAGAAAUAGAAACACUGGAUUGAAACAAGUUCCAUGAGAAUUCCACGUUGAAGUCCAAAUAAAAUAUUAGAAACUAUUGAAUCUUUUUUUUAGUGAAACGGCCAAUCGUUUGUGAUUUCCUUCAGUAAUUUGAGCAAGCUGGUAUGAUAAAAAUAAAAUAAUGUUACUAUUUUAUAAAUAUGGUAAAAUAAAAAAUAAAAAAUAAAAUAAACAUAUAAAAAAAAACAAACAUAAAUUACCUUGCUCACAGAAACUUCUUUCCCAACUUUUGCAAUCACGUAAUCUCAGUGUCUCUUUUGACUAGGCCCAGAGACCCAUGAAUUACAAAUUUUUGUGGCAAAUGAGACAAACAGGUUUCUAUCUUCACAGAAUGUUUUGUGGCCAUGUGAGAUCCAGUUUAAAGUGAUCAAAGGAAGGUUGGUGGUGGUGGUGGGAUGGCGGUGGCGGGGUGGUGAAUGGCGGAGGAGGGGGAGACCUUUUCUACUCUUAAGUAAAUCUUCAUAUGGAGAAUAGGUUUUAAUAUUUCAUGGUCUAUGGCGGAGCAGGUGUUGGGUGCAUUGGGAAAGUUCAAUUGAAGUUGGUCAAUGUGAAAGGUGUGUGAAUUGUGAAAUUCAGUGGAAGGUGUAGCCUAUUAGAAAAAACAAUAUUCAAAUAUCGAGUAAUUAACAAUGUGGUAGUAAUGAAGUCAUGUGACCAUAAAGAGAGAAUGAAGUGAUUAGAGAUGCAUGUGCAAUCUCUGCUCACCCUUUUAUAGGGAACAAUUUUCUUGUUCAACAUCUUCAUUUACUAGUAUUGUACAUCAAAAUGGAAGAUAUAUGCAAUUAACGUGUAUAAUUCAUUUACUAGUAUUGUAUAAUUCAUUUACAGUUUUUAAGAACUUUCAAAUUUUCAUUAUCUAAUAGUAGUAUUCAUUCAUAAUUAUUUGUUGCAAUGAAUUGCUAUUUUCCUAUUAUUUCAUAAUUCUAACUAUCACACACCAUACUUUAAAAAUUAAUAAAAAAAACAAAGAAAUUUCAAUUGACAUGGUUAGCACAACGAAAUAUUUCAAUCAACAUGGUUGCUAAUAGUUCAAGAAAUUUCUAUACUAAUCAAUUACUGUUAUAGAAAUUCCAUUUUUCAUUGUCAAAUUAAAUGAAAUUGAAACAAAUAAGGAAGAAAAAUUAAAAAAUUACUACUUAUUUACAGUUCCAAAAUUCCAACAAAUAUGGGUUAUUGCUUAAAUAAUAAAUAACAACAACCCUUGUUAAAAUUUGUGUUUGAUUUAUUUAAGACGUUCUGCCCCAAUAAAAGUGCUACAUUAAAUUAAAGUAUUUUUGAUUUGAGAUUAAUUACUUAUACACUGCAGUGUAAAAAGUUUUAACCGUCGGUUCAUACCAUCCCCGUUUGUAUUACUUUAUAAUUUUAAAAUAAAAGUCAAACUUCUUUUCUAUCCAAAGUCUAUGAUUAACUGAUGGUGUAAAACCUUUUUACACUGACAGUGUAUUUCAAUUAAUCUCUUUUGAUCUUUAAACGAAGCUUUAUAUUAAUGAAUUAUGUUGAUUUUUAAUUGGAAAAUUAUUAUUCAAUUGAUGUAGUAAAACUACUUCCUGGAAAGUUAAAAAAUAAAGUGGUGGUCAAUGUAAAUCAAUGUUUUUAAUUUAUUUUAGGAUCUACAGUAAAUUUUUCAAAAAUAAAUAAAAUAUCAAAAUAUUAAAGUACAAAAGUAUUUGGUAUUGUAAAUAUAAUGAAGCAACAUAAGAACCAAUAAAAAAUUAAAGGAAUCUAAAAUAAAUUUUAAAAUAAUUAAGAGUAAUAAAUAAUGUCAAAUAAAAGAUAUAAAUAAUUUUAAAAUGAGUCAUCAAAUAUAGACUAUAUUAAAAAAAAUAAACUUUACCAUUAGAAUAUUAUUUAUAAAUUUACUUUUGAAUUAAAAAAUAAUAAUUGAGAGAGUUCUAUAUAAUGGAUUUUUAUACGAUUAAAUAAGAUAAAGUAUGAAGAAAAAACUCAUAAUAAUUAAAACAAUUAAAAAAACACAGAAACAUUUGUUACUGAGUUAUAUAAAAAAAUUCACAAACUUGCAAAAAACAAAAUAUAAAAACAAAAAUUUAAAACAUAUUCAUUAAUGUUCAUUAAUGAAAAAAUAAUAUUUCCAUAAAUAUUUUCAAAAACACCAAAAGAAAAGAAAAACAUCAAAAAGAUGUUUUCACUUUUAAUUUUAAAAACAGAAUACUAAAUUAAUUAUGAACUCUAUGAUAUAAAAGUCUUAUCAAACAAAUUUUUUGUUUUAAUAAUUUUUUAGAACUAAAAUACAAUUCUUAGAAAUCAAUUCAAACAGCCCUUACUCUCCCCUACCAAGAUAAAAUGGAUAACUAUACAUGCGAUCCACUUAAUUUCUGACAAGUUGAAAGUACGAUAUGUCCACCUCAAGAUGAUAAUCUACGGACAAGAUAGAAGCUACUUGCACAACCGUUUGAGCUGGAGAAUCCCGAGGUGUCGUUCCACCAAAAAAAAAUUGUCAAACAACAUUCGGAUCAAAUUAAGCAACGUGGGAGAAGAUCAAUUUAAACAUCUGUUCUGAGAAGCUUCCACAAGAAAUUCCAGAAUUAAAUUAGGUUCCAAGACCAACACCAUGGCACCACUACCCCAAAUUCCUCUAUAGUCAAAGGUCUAGAAAAUUGUACUUUUCAAACUGACUAAAAAUUGCCAGCUCUCAUGGGCACUAUCCAAUCCAUUGAUUUCUCCAAAAGUCAAUAUAGAACCUAACCUCAGAACAUUAUCUUAAAUUUGCGCAUACCAGGACCUUAGCCCAGAAUAACCCGAGUUAAUAAAUAACCUCAAAUAAAGAUAUAAUAGCUUCCUAAAUGGAUCAUUCAAAUACUGACCAUAUUAAAAAAAAUAAACUUAACCAAUUUAAAACUAUAUUUAUUAAAUUUACUUUUGAUUAAAAUAAUUAACUUGAGAGAGCUGAUCUAUAUUAAAAGUUGGAUUUUUUAUAGAUUAAAAAUCAAUAAAAAGUAUGAACAGAAAAAAAACAUAAAUUAUUUAAAACAAAAUUUAAAAAAAAAAACAACAGAACAUUAUUAUCGUUAUGCUAUAUUAAAAAAAUCACCAAACAUGCAAAAAUAAAAAUAUAAAACAAAAUUUAACAUAUUUACAUAAUGCCAUUAAUGAAAAAUAUUAUUUUCCAUAUAUUUUCAUAAACACCAAAUAGAAAGAAAACAUGCAAAGAUGUUUCCACUUUUUAAUUUUUAAAAACAGAACCUCACAAAUUUAUAAUUAUGAACUCUAUGACAUAAAAGUCUUAUCAAACAAAUUUUUUGUUUUAUAAUUUUUUAGAACUAAAAUACAGUUCUUAGAAAUCAAUUGAAACAGCCUUACUCUCUACCAAGAUAAAAUGGAUUCAUAACCAUCCAUCCGAUCCAACCUAACCUUCUGACAAGUUUGAAGGUACGAUAUGUUCCACUCCCAAAGAAUGAUAAUCGUACCACGGACAAGAUAGAAGCUAACCUUGCACAAACCGUUUUGACUGAGAAUCCCGCGGUGUCUUUCCACCAGAAAAAAUUGUCAACAACAUUCGGAAUCAAAUUAAGAAUGAGAAGAAGAUCAUUUAAAUUUGUCUGAGAAGCUUCCACAAGAACAUUAGAAUUAAAUUGAGGUUCCAAGACCAAACACCAUGGCACUACUACCCCAAAUCCUCUCUAGAAGGUCUAGAAAAUUGUACUUUUUCAAACUG